rnacentral:rRNA from 1 species
GACAGAGGAUGCAAGCGUUAUCCGGAAUGAUUGGGCGUAAAGCGUCUGUAGGUGGCUUUUUAAGUCCGCCGUCAAAUCCCAGGGCUCAACCCUGGACAGGCGGUGGAAACUACCAAGCUGGAGUACGGUAGGGGCAGAGGGAAUUCCUGGUGUAGCGGUGAAAUGCGCAGAUAUCAGGAGGAACACCGGUGGCGAAGGCGGGUCUCUGGGCCGAUACUGACGCUGAGGAGCGAAAGCGUGGGGAGCGAACAGG